AGUGAACGCUGGCGGUAGGCCUAACACAUGCAAGUCGAACGGCAGCACAGGAGAGCUUGCUCUCUGGGUGGCGAGUGGCGGACGGGUGAGGAAUACAUCGGAAUCUACUCUGUCGUGGGGGAUAACGUAGGGAAACGUACGCUAAUACCGCAUACGACCUACGGGUGAAAGCAGGGGACCUUCGGGCCUUGCGCGAUUGAAUGAGCCGAUGUCGGAUUAGCUAGUUGGCGGGGUAAAGGCCCACCAAGGCGACGAUCCGUAGCUGGUCUGAGAGGAUGAUCAGCCACACUGGAACUGAGACACGGUCCAGACUCCUACGGGAGGCAGCAGUGGGGAAUAUUGGACAAUGGGCGCAAGCCUGAUCCAGCCAUACCGCGUGGGUGAAGAAGGCCUUCAGGUUGUAAAGCCCUUUUGUUGGGAAAGAAAUCCAGCUGGCUAAUACCCGGUUGGGAUGACGGUACCCAAAGAAUAAGCACCGGCUAACUUCGUGCCAGCCGCCGCAGUAA
rnacentral:rRNA from 1 species